rnacentral:rRNA from 1 species
UACAGAGGUCUCAAGCGUUGUUCGGAUUCAUUGGGCGUAAAGGGUGCGUAGGCGGCGCGGUAAGUCGGGCGUGAAAUCUCGGAGCUUAACUCCGAAACUGCAUUCGAUACUGCCGUGCUUGAGGACUGGAGAGGAGACUGGAAUUUACGGUGUAGCGGUGAAAUGCGUAGAUAUCGUAAGGAAGACCAGUGGCGAAGGCGGGUCUCUGGACAGUUCCUGACGCUGAGGCACGAAGGUGAGGGGAGCAAACGGG